GACGAACGCUGGCGGCGUGCUUAACACAUGCAAGUCGAACGGAAAGGCUCCAGCUUGCUGGAGUACUCGAGUGGCGAACGGGUGAGUAACACGUGGGUAAUCUGCCCUGCACUCUGGGAUAAGCCUGGGAAACUGGGUCUAAUACUGGAUAUGACCUUUCUCCUUAUGGGGUUUGGUGGAAAGUUUUUCGGUGUAGGAUGAGCCCGCGGCCUAUCAGCUUGUUGGUGGGGUGAUGGCCUACCAAGGCGACGACGGGUGGCCGGCCUGAGAGGGUGAUCGGCCACAUUGGGACUGAGAUACGGCCCAGACUCCUACGGGAGGCAGCAGUGGGGAAUAUUGCACAAUGGGCGGAAGCCUGAUGCAGCGACGCCGCGUGAGGGAUGACGGCCUUCGGGUUGUAAACCUCUUUCAGCAGGGACGAAGCGUAAGUGACGGUACCUGCAGAAGAAGCACCGGCUAACUAUGUG
rnacentral:rRNA from 1 species